GUUUAUAAGGUACGCAUUGUCGUACAUACACGCGAGGGGCGGUCAGUGUGGUGUUCGAACCUGUUGUCCGUUCUCAUGAGAAGACGUACGAUCGUACUGUACUGCUGCUCUAAAUACACCUACACGGUAGUCGUCAUCUGCUGAUGCACAUCCAUCAUCAUUAUGGCAAUAACCCGGCAACGUACAUGUACUUGAAACAAUCCCUAAUCUCGCAAAGCUGGCUGGUGUGUGUAUGUGCGGAGGGGGGGGGGGUUACAACUGGUGCGUGAUUGAAUUGAG
rnacentral:lncRNA from 1 species